rnacentral:rRNA from 1 species
GCAAAAAAUCUCUUAUUCUUAUAUAAACAAUGUUUGGGGCCACCGAUAGAGAAGAGUACUGUGAAGGAAAGUUAAAAGUUUUGUCUUUAAAGCAGAUAUUGUUAUCGUACCUUUUGUAUAAGGGGUUUGUAAGAAGUUUUUAGCGAGGCAAGGGCCGUAAUGAGAGUGAGUCUUCUGUAGUUAAAAAUCCCGAAACUAAGUGAUCUAAUUAUGGGCAGCCUGAAGUUAUAUGGGAGUAUAAGGGAGGGGCGAACUGGUAACUGUGGCAAAAGUUUCAGAUGAUCUAUAGUUGGCGGUGAGAGACUAAUCGAACUUAGAAAUAGCUGGUUUUCUACGAAAUUUCUUUUAGUGAAGUGAAAAUUUAAAUAAAUCUUAUUUAUGGAGGGUAUAUUUUAUAUUUUUAAUGAGAGUGGGGGCGUAAAGUGUUCGCUCGAGAGGGGAAAAGCCCGGAUAUUAGCUAAAGGCGUGAAAAAAUUUUUAAGUGCAAAAGGGGGAUUAAUUUAGAUAAAAAGAAAGUGGGCUUGGAAGUAGCCAUCUUAUAAAGAGUGUGUAAUUACAUAAUUUUCAAGUUAAGGCCUUUGAAAAUGUGGGCGACUUAAAAAAGUAUUAAAGCUAUGGGUGUUUGAUAUAAAUUUAGGUAGUAGAAUAUACUGUAUUGGAUAAUGAAAAUAGAUCAGUAGAAAUAAUGCAAACAUGAGUAAAAAAUACCUGGGGGUGUCUACAAAAGUUGUAAAAAAAUUUUUUAAUAGGCGGCAGUAACCUUUUAUAUUAAGAAAUUUUAUUUAUUUUUUGUAGUAUAAUUUAAGACUAUCGGGGAUAGUUGAAGAGGAAUGGGGGUUCCGACUGACAAUAGUGGGUAUUUAAAUGAAUAAGCUUAUAUUAAGGAAUUCGGCAAAAUGUUUUUGUAAGAUUACGAGAAGAAAAGAGUUUAAUUAAAAAAACUAUAAAAUUUUUGCUUUUUAGUUGCUUUAAUUAGACAAAAAUUAGGAGGUGUCGACUGUUUCGCAAAAACAUAGCUUCUAGUAAAGAAUAGAGGUGAGACCUGUCCAGUGACUAUUUCUAAAUAUCGUUUCGAUUAUAAGGGUAGUUAAACGGCCGCGGUAAUUAUGACCGUGUUAAAGUAGCGCAAUCAAUCGCCAAUUAAUUGUUGGCAAGUAUGAAGGUUUCACGAAUGCCUCACUGUCUCAAUAUAAAGUUUAUUGAAAUUGGAAUUUUAGUGAAGAUACUAAAUAGUAAUUGAAAGACGAGAAGACCCCGUGAGCUUUACUGGAGUGUUAAUUAUUAUUAAUACAGACAGUUUAGUUGGGGCGACUCCCCUAUAAAGAGUAACUAGGGGGUUUGUGGGUUAAGAAAUAGUUAAGCCUAAGACAAUAAGGGGGCCCUCCCAAAUUGGCAUGUAGUUUUUUGGUUUAUCAAAAUCUUUUAUAACUUGGUGGGAUAUAUUGAUCCGUAAUUUAUAGAUUACGAGAGCGGCAAAAAGUUACCGCGGGGAUAACAGGGUGAUUUUGUUUGAGAGUUCAUAUCGAAGACGAAGUUUGCUACCUCGAUGUUGAAUUGUGAUAUCCUGAAGGCGCAGGAGUUUUCAAGGGUUGGACUGUUCGUCCAUUAAAAUCGCACAUGAUUUGAGUUCAGACCGGCGUGAGCCAGGUCGGUUUCUAUCUUCAAUUAUUUCAUAUCUUUUGUUUUUUUAGUACGAAAGGA